rnacentral:rRNA from 1 species
ACUCCUACGGGAGGCAGCAGUGGGGAAUAUUGGACAAUGGGCGAAAGCCUGAUCCAGCCAUGCCGCGUGUGUGAAGAAGGUCUUCGGAUUGUAAAGCACUUUAAGUUGGGAGGAAGGGUUGUAGUUUAAUACGCUGCAAUCUUGACGUUACCAACAGAAUAAGCACCGGCUAACUCC